rnacentral:lncRNA from 1 species
CUUGGAUAGCCAGAACCGAAUCAGAACUCAGUUGCUUAGACAUUGUAAGAAGAGGGUCUAAAGAAUCUUUUAUUGAUCCUGAGUCAUCCACAGCGAGAACAGAGUUGAAUUCAUCUCCACAUAGGUAUGAUCUUACCGAGCUCCAUCUUUUCUUCUCUCCUAGAUUGCUUCUUCCCUGAAACAUUACAAUAUUCAAGCAUAGUAAACAUAUUUUUUAUAAAAAAGCAAUAGAGUGAUGGGUUUCUUGAUCAAAAUGUACAUUGUUGUUGUAGUCAUGAGCCCCAAAUGAUUUGUUUCUGAAGAAAAUGCUUCUCACAAGUCCUCCUGUAACACCCAUCUCUCCCUCUCUCUCUCUCUCUCUCUAUGUGUUUCAGAACAAUCCUGGAUAAAAGGGACUUGGGAAAAUGGGUACACACAUGUGAGGUUGAUUAUAUAAAAGCUGGGUGUAGAAGUAGAAAAAGAAAAGUUGAAUUAUUUUAGAAUCAAAAACCACAUGACUCAUUUACAAAGAGUACAUGUUAAAAAAGAGAUUCAAAGGAAAAAAAAAGCUGAAGUAUAGCGUAUAGUGCAAUAGUUAUGAUUGUGAUCCAGAAGAAAAGCAUCUGUAGUUUUGUUUAUUUUAAUUUAGUUUUGAUCGAAAUCGUGAGUUUUUUUGUGGUCUCUACUUUCGAUUACUUUGCUUUGGAGUGGCACAUGGAGGGCAUCGCAUUGGUUCUUUUCUUAUGCAAACGGCAAUUUCACUCAAUUCACCCUUUUUUAUUCCCUUCACUGUCACAUUGCUCUCUCUGCUUUUUCUUCUUUUUCAUUGGAAAUGGAAAAGUUCGUGGUACGGUUUACUCUGUCUUUUUAAUUUCUUUUGUGCCAUGUAACUCUCUCUCUUUCUUGUCGGCAACACAUUUGUAUCAAGUAUAGAUAAUUAACCCAUUUCGAAAAAUGCAAAGAAGGGCAAAUUUUGGGUCGAACGGACCAACCAAAUACUAAACACUAAAAAUUUUCUUUUGUCUGCCAAUUUCUUCAUAUUAAUUUAGUGAAGACUAAAAUAAAUCAAAAAGAUCAAUAAAAGACUUAGAAAAUAAGAUGUCUGAAUUGCGAUGGAUUGUUAUUUAGUUAUAGUUCAAGUGUUUUACAAAUUAAGGAUUUUUAUUACUAUAAAAUUAUGGUAAUAGUUAUUAACACAAUACAUAUUUACUUCGGUUCGGUUCGGUUUAUAUACUGUCGGUUUUUGGUUUAUUCGAUUUUAUACCAAAAAAACAUAAUUACGAAGAAGAAGAAGACAGAGAAGAAGAAAAAAACAAACAAACCAGGUAAGUCCUGAAUGCUGAUUGAAUUUUGACUGCAGCAUCUUCUUCUAGGAACAGCUUAGAGAUUAGAGUAGUCUGAUGCCUCUUUGGUAUGUGCGUCUCUGUUGCUUCGCUUUGUUCUUCUUUGUGUAAAGGCUGAGUUACUGAAACCUCUGAGUUCUUACCUGAUACAGAGUCCUCCUCCUCCUCCUCCUCCUGAUGUAGUUUCACAGAAGCUGAAUCUUGGAUAGCCAGAACCGAAUCAGAACUCAGUUGCUUAGACAUUGUAAGAAGAGGGUCUAAAGAAUCUUUUAUUGAUCCUGAGUCAUCCACAGCGAGAACAGAGUUGAAUUCAUCUCCACAUAGGUAUGAUCUUACCGAGCUCCAUCUUUUCUUCUCUCCUAGAUUGCUUCUUCCCUGAAACAUUACAAUAUUCAAGCAUAGUAAACAUAUUUUUUAUAAAAAAGCAAUAGAGUGAUGGGUUUCUUG